UACCAGCCCCCUGAGUGGUAGGGACGAUUAUUUGGCCUAAAGCGUCCGUAGCCGGUUUAGUAAGUCUUCCGUGAAAUCCAACGACUCAAUCGUUGGGCGUGCGGAGGAUACUGCUAGACUAGAGGGUGGGAGAGGUCGACGGUAGUCCAGGGGUAGGGGUGAAAUCCUAUAAUCCCUGGAGGACCACCAGUGGCGUAGGCGGUCGACUAGAACAUGCCUGACGGUGAUGGACGAAAGCUGGGGGAGCGAACCGGAUUAGAUACCCGGGUAGUCCCAGCCGUAAACGAUGCGGGCUAGGUGUUGGGGAAGCCACGAGCUUCUCCAGUGCCGCAGAGAAGUCGUUAAGCCCGCCGCCUGGGGAGUACGAUCGCAAGAUUGAAACUUAAAGGAAUUGGCGGGGGAGCACCACAAGGGGUGAAGGCUGCGGUUCAAUUGGAGUCAACGCCGGGAACCUUACUGGGGCUGACAGCAGAGUGAAGGUCAGACUAAAGAUCUUGCCAGACAAGCUGAGAGGUGGUGCAUGGCCGUCGACAGUUCGUGCCGUGAGGUGUCCUGUUAAGUCAGGCAACGAACGAGACCCCCACUGUUAGUUGCCAACGAGUUCCAACGGACCGUCGGGUACACUAACGGGACUGCCACUGAUAAGGUGGAGGAAGGAGGGGGCAACGGCAGGUCAGUAUGCCCCGAAUGCCCCAGGCCACACGCGGCCUGCAAUGGUAGGAACAGAGGGUUUCAACCCUGAAAAGGGAAGGUAAUCCCUAAACCCUAUCUCAGUUGGGACUGAGGGCUGAAACUCGCCCUCAUGAACAUGGAAUCCCUAGUAACCGCGUGUCAUCAUCGCGCGGUGAAUACGUCCCCGCUCCU
rnacentral:rRNA from 1 species